CUAGCUGAAAAGUAACAAGCCAACAUUAGACUACAGUUAGCAUGAGCUAGCUAACAUUCUUACAGUAACUUGUCCUCUUUUUGUGUGUAGCCUACUUUAGUUAGCUAGCUAGUUGUUGACAGGCAGAGUGUGACAUUUCUUACACAAUGUCUAGUCUUCCAAUGCCAUGAAGAAAUAUCAAUCAAAAAGCACGUUAGCCGCACAAUAAAUCAAGCCAGACCGAACAGACAUGGGUCUAGUUGUGUUUAACGUCCCAACGCACAUGCUCAUCCAAUGACUUUUUGUUGUCACCUCAGUUUGUCACCCUGCUCACCUGGUGAACUGAAAGAAGAAAUCAGUGGGAAGAAAGAAAUGUCAAUGUCGAGCUCCAACACACCAUAUUGUGUCCUGGGGGAGGUGUUCAGCCAGAUGACCGCGGGCUGAUUGGGAUGUGCCGGUGCUGCAGGUGACAUGGCAGGGGGCUGAGGCUUUGCACUUUGUGGGUUCAGUCCUAAAGGUGGGCCAGGAGGUGCAACUGAAGAUGGACUGGGAGUGGAGGUUUGACCACAUGCAGCAACACUUAGGGUCCAUAGCAGGUCCACGCCUAGAGCCUUCAGCAGCACGUAGAAGCCCACAGCGAUGGAGAGCAGAAAGAGGGUGGUGUAGAAGUACUUCUUCAGACUGGCUCCGUAGAUCCACUGGGUUCUGUUGAACGCCUCGGCCACAACCAUACCUGGAAAUCAAAUAGAAAACAUGACUUGGUGGGGGAAGUGGGCAGCAAUGAAGACUCUGGAGAGACACACACAGACCUGGACCGCCCAGAAGAACGCCCACAGAGUGCCUCGUAGAUACCUGCCCAGACAAGGGGAGAGGGAGAGGAACCAUCAGCAAAUGCAUCUUUAGGCAUUUUUGAAUCUGCCUGGCUGCUAAGAGACUGCAUAAUAAAUAACAAGUAAAUGUGCAAAUAAAUAUUAUUCACAGCAGGGGAAUUUGUUUUUCCUGUGUCACUAGAGGUGAAUAGGCUUCUACUGAUACAUGUAAAUCAUUUUAAUCGACUGUUGCUUCCUUUGAUUUGACAACAAAACCACUCGAACGGAAUCUUUUGCACAUCCCCUUCCCUUCGACUAACUGAAGUUAGUUUUCAGGGUAAAUCAUCAACUACAGUGCUGCACAGACAAGUAAGCAUAAAACUGACAAGCACUGAACGAAAAAUGGCAAACAAGAACAAGAUCAUUGAGGACAAGAGGGGUUGAAUGUUCUGGAACUUACAGGCCCUUGGAGGAAGAUCCCGUCUUAUUCUUGGUCAGCAUGAUGGCUAGAAUGGAGGUAACCAGUGUGUAGUAGACGCCUGCAGCUCCCAUAGCGUGGCCAGAGGGACUGCCUACCAGGCACGCAGACAGAAAGGCAUACUUCAGUCAAUGGCCAUAGCACUUUAUUCAAGUAAAAUGAAAAUCCAACACAAUGCUGUACAAUAUCGUAAACCAUAAAUAUUCUCAACAUCAUUACUUAUAAAACGUUGGCUAUUUUCACUGAAUCAUAGCAUAUCACUCCCAUAAACUUUUAUUUCGACCGUGAAGCGAAAACUUUUAAUUUGGUUCUAUACUCCAGCAUUUUGGAUUUUAGAUCAAAUGUUGAGGAAAUUGUUGCCUCAUAUGAUACGUUUCAGAUUAUGUUGUGCCCAAUAGAAAUGAAUGGUAAAUAAUGUAUUGUGUCAUUUUGCGUAAAAAUGUUUGUAAAGUGCUUUCAAUAAAGUGGUUUCAUUUCCAAAUGCUAAAA